rnacentral:rRNA from 1 species
AUUGAACGCUGGCGGCAGGCCUAACACAUGCAAGUCGAACGAGUGGCGGACGGGUGAGUAAUGUCUGGGAAACUGCCCGAUGGGGAGGGAUAACUACUGGGAACGGUAGCUAAUACCACAUACCAUCGGAUGUGCCCAGAUGGGAUUAGCUAGUGGGUGGGGUAACGGCCCACCUAGGCGACGAUCCCUAGCUGGUCUGAGAGGAUGACCAGCCACACUGGAACUGAGACACGGUCCAGACUCCUACGGGAGGCAGCAGUGGGGAAUAUUGCACAAUGGGCGCAAGCCUGAUGCAGCCAUGCCGCGUGUAUGAAGAAGGCCUUCGGGUUGUAAAGUACUUUCAGCGAGGAGGCGUUACUCGCAGAAGAAGCACCGGCUAACUCCGUGCCAGCAGCCGCGGUAAUUC